rnacentral:misc_RNA from 1 species
GUGGACACUUCCAGGGAUAUAGUUAUGUUGCUCCUAACCCUUGGCUUUCAUCAUCUGGAUAGAAUGCUGAUCAUGGUUUUCUCACUAUACUGGUAAAUGCAACUGUACAUGAGUCCUAUACUCCCAUUAAAUUAUUGCUGGUUUCACAACUCAGUGACUUGUAAUCUUUCAGAUACUUACAAAUGUUUGUGUUGAGAUUUGGCUUCUUCUAGACUUCCAAGUUCU